rnacentral:rRNA from 1 species
UACGUAGGGGGCAAGCGUUGUCCGGAUUUACUGGGCGUAAAGAGCGCGUAGGCGGAAGCUUAAGUGUGGCCUGAAAGCCCCCGGCUCAACCGGGGAAGGUGGCUGCAAACUGGGCUUCUUGAGGGCGAUAGAGGAGGGUGGAGUUCCUGGUGUAGCGGUGAAAUGCGUAGAUAUCAGGAGGAACACCGGUGGCGAAGGCGGCCCUCUGGGUCGACCCUGACGCUGAGGCGCGAAAGCGUGGGGAGCGAACGGG